rnacentral:lncRNA from 1 species
CACCUCUGGCUGUUUACUUCCACCCAGUAAGGCGGAGUUUCCUGCCCUGAAACUGAAGGACGUCCCUCCCUAGAACAGCUUAUAAGAGGAAACAUUAGGGCAGCAACACAAGUGAGUCUCAGACAUUUUCUCACAAAAGGCCCCAGGGACCACAAAUUAAAGGAAAGGAUGCUUAGGAGAGGAAAGCCUGGAGAGUUUGGAAAACGACUUUGAGGCGCUGGACUGAGUCACCAUCAUUUCCUGCUGAGGUUAUCCUAAGAGAACUAGCAGGCACCACCACUCCCCACACCAGCUGCCUGCUCUGGGAUCUGGGCAGGACCGACCUAUCAGCCAAAGGAGUCCCAGACGGCACCAGAUUGCCAGUGAUGUAAUAUACACUUCAUUUGUUUAUCUGUAAGCCUUCAGAGCAAGCAAGAGAGGAAAACAAGCCAGUGGAAAUAUUAUACAGGGAGCAGCUAGCUUUUCUUGGCUUUCUUGUUUGUUCCUGAGCUGACAAUAGAAAUCUUUGAGAAUUGGAACUAGUGCGCUUUGAAAACAAAACUCUCUUCACUUACAGGGCAUGGAUUUUUCUGCUAAUUUGGAUUCUUUUGAGGACAAAUUUGCAUACCAUUAUCAUUAUCAUUGUUUCAUCGAAAAAAAAAUAAAAGAAGCACCUGUGGGAUAGAGAAUGAGAGAGGAACACAGAAUGGCGAAGGUGUUAGAGCAGUCGGAGGAAAUGGACAUACUUUGGAAGACAGAGACCUGGUAAUCCCUUUUCACCCAAGAAGAACCAAGCCCUGGAUGAAUGGAUGAGCAGCUCACGUUUUUCUGCCCCCCACCCCCAGUCUUUCUGAGACUGACUUUGUCCUAGGAAUUGUUCGUCCCUCUGGAAGCUAGUCUGGAAUUCAGAGACCUGGAGGGAGAAGACACAUGGACUGUCAGAUCUAGAGACCUGCUUCCUUCAAUAGCUGAUUUUCUUUCAUUUGUGUCAGAAACAGGCAGCAUGGCACAGAGCCAUGCACCUAAAACUUUAUUGUGCAUAUUUAUUCCUAGAGAUCUUGUUAAAAUGCAGAUUCAGAUUCAGCCAAUCUAGGGUCAGGGCUUUCUAUUGUAAUAAGUUCCAAGGUAAUGCCAAUGCUGCUGGUCCAUGGACUGCACACUUUGAUGAGAAGUUUAGUAAGGAUAUAGAGGAAAGAAUACUACACGUGUAGUAGUAAUUUCUGGCUUUUAGUAUCAGCUCUGCCAUUUACCAGCUUGCUUUCUUGGACAAGUCAUUUUUCCUCUCUGGAUUUUAGUUUCCUCAAAUAUAAGCUGGGUGAUAGAGGAGGAGGUUGGGUUAGGUUAUUUCAAAGCUUGCAUUCAUAGACUCUUCAAAGUGAUGUUUUGAUUAAAAAACUCCACCUAUAGGAUCACGUACAGCUUUUCAAAGGACUAGCAGGUGAACUGGCAUUAUCAAAGCAGAAAAUAUAGGGGCUGGAGCAGGAAGGCAUGGCAAAGUCAGAGAAAAGGAAGGUGAGCCAUAAUAACUUCUUAUGGCAAAUAUAACACUUUGAUUAUUUCAGAGUGAUG